UUCCAUCUUCUUAAUCGCAGUGCAGCUCAC
rnacentral:piRNA from 1 species